UGCCUCAGACAUGCAAGUCGAACGAUUAAAGCUCUCUUCGGAGAGUGCAUAGAGUGGCGCACGGGUGAGUAACACGUAAGGAAUCUACCUUUGAGUGGGGAAUAACAGUCGGAAACGACUGCUAAUACCGCAUAAUGCAGCGGCAUCGCAAGAUGACAGUUGUUAAAGAUUUAUCGCUUGAAGAGGAGCUUGCGGCAGAUUAGCUAGUUGGUAAGGUAAUGGCUUACCAAGGCUACGAUCUGUAACCGGUCUAAGAGGACGGUCGGUCACACUGACACUGAACAACGGGUCAGACUCCCUACGGGAGGGCAGCAGUCGGGAAUUUUGGGGCAAUGGG
rnacentral:rRNA from 1 species